AGGAGGGGAAAGGUAGCUGGAAGCUUUGCAGAGACUGAAUUGCAGAGACUCGGAGCAGGGAGAAAAUGCUCCAGUUGGCUGCCUGGGAUCUUUGGGGCCUCCGGGAGACAGGAUGGCCAUCCCCAGCUGGCCCCUCUCUCCUCAGUGUCACGGUGAAGGAUGCAGAGACUAGGCUGGACUAUGUACAAAGGGCUGGUGCUCAACUGUUACCAGCUAUGCCCUUCUCUGCAUGGCAAGGGAAGUAAAGAAGAUAGCCUGGGAGCAUUGCCAUUUUAUUUAUUUGAAAGAGAGAGAGAGAAGAGGAAGGGAGAGGGAAAGUAGACUCCCUGCUGAGUGGGAAGCCCGAUGCAGGGCUCCAUCCCAGAACCCUGAGAUCAUGACCUGAGCUGAAAUUAAAAAGUCCGCUUCACCGACUGAGCCACCCAGAAAUUCUGAAAGGUUUGUUCCUUUUGCAUCGACAAGAGCACCCCUUGCUGUGGAUUUGAAAAAGACUAUGAGAGCAGAGACCCAGAGGCCUACCCUGGAGGGUGAAG